CUCAUCUCUACGCAUUCGCCAUAUCCCUCUCUAGUUCCCUAAACAUUGAGACCACCACCACCACUUAACUCGCCACUCCGGUGAGCCUCACCUCCACCAAACCACUGCAACUCAUUCCCUAUCUUAUACCUGAACCUAGAAGUAUGAACAAAACCAUCGACCUUGAACCCAGACCUGAGGAACCACGACCUUCAUUCCCAAUCAGAGAAAAAAUUUGGCUAGAUUUUCGAAUUCUCCGUCAAGGAUUUUUCUUGAGCUUUUUUGGCCAAACCUCGUUAAGUUGGAUGAGGUUAACACCACGAGUAGGCUCCUCACCAUUCCUAGACCCAUACUCAAGCUUUGCAUGCUCGAAUCUGCCACUGUCUCAACGAAACCAUUUUUGGACCAAGGCUUUUAAACCAAUUUCAAGCCACCUUCAACCACCAUUUGGCCUCGAAUUAGGCAAAAAUCCCAGUUUCCGACAAAACUCUAGCCGACAACCGACUGCAUCGACAACCUGUCUCUAUGAAGAAGACAACGAAAUAAUUCGUUGAGUCUAACGAAAUAUUCCUGACGUCGUCAACAUCUCCGUCAGAAAUCAGGCAUAUUCUAUUAACUUUAUUUCCAUUGUUACUGUUAACUAAGACGAAAUAUUUUUCUUGGCAAUGGAAUAUUUCAUUUUCAACGACCAACUCAGCCAAUGGAAUGUCCCAGCUUGUGGGGUAGUACUGUGGCGUGUGGCGGCACGUGCGGUGACACACGAGUUUAGGACACCGAAUUUGGUGGUUCGAGUUCAUAAUGUUCGAUUAAGUUACCACGUUUGAGUUAAUUACUUUAGGAAAAUUUUCUACGAAUUACAAAGAGCAAGUGAUGCGAGAAUUAUACGCACACAAAUUAAACCCUAUUUUUAUC